rnacentral:rRNA from 1 species
UACGGAGGGAGCUAGCGUUGUUCGGAAAUACUGGGCGUAAAGCGCACGUAGGCGGCGCAGCAAGUCAGGGGGUGAAAUCCCGGGGCUCAACCCCCGGAACUGCCCUUGAAACUGCAGUGCUAGAAUCUUGGAGAGGCGAGUGGAAUUCCGAGUGUAGAGGUGAAAUUCGUAGAUAUUGGGAGGAACACCAGUGGCGAAGGCGGCUCACUGGACCGGUACUGACGCUGAGGCGCGAAAAGCGUGGGGGAGCAAACAGG